UACGUAGGGUGCGAGCGUUGUCCGGAAUUAUUGGGCGUAAAGAGCUCGUAGGCGGUGUGUCACGUCGUUCGUGAAAACCUGCAGCUUAACUGUGGGCGUGCGGUCGAUACGGGCAUCACUGGAGUUCGGCAGGGGAGACUGGAAUUCCUGGUGUAGCGGUGAAAUGCGCAGAUAUCAGGAGGAACGCCGGUGGCGAAGGCGGGUCUCUGGGCCGAUACUGACGCUGGAGGAGCGAAAAGCGUGGGGAGCAAACAGG
rnacentral:rRNA from 1 species